UACGUAGGGACCGAGCGUUGUUCGGAUUCAUUGGGCGUAAAGAGCUCGUAGGCGGCUGCUCAAGUCGAAUGUGAAAACUCGAGGCUCAACCUCGAGCCUGCAUUCGGUACUGGGCGGCUAGAGUCUGGUAGGGGGAUCUGGAAUUCCUGGUGUAGCGGUGAAAUGCGUAGAUAUCUGGAGGAACACCGAUGGCGAAGGCAGGUCUCUGGGCCACUACUGACGCUGAGAAGCGAAAGCAUGGGGAGCGAACAGG
rnacentral:rRNA from 1 species